UUACGGCCAUAUCACGUUGAAACAUGUUCUCGUACGAUCACCGAAGUUAAGCAACGCCGAGCCUGGUCAGUACUGAAAUGUGUGACCGUCU